rnacentral:rRNA from 1 species
GACGAACGCUGGCGGCGUGCUUAACACAUGCAAGUCGAACGGUGAAGCGCCUUCCUUUUUGGUGGGUGUGGAUGAGUGGCGAACGGGUGAGUAACACGUGAGUAACCUGCCCCCUUCUUCUGGAUAACCGCAUGAAAGUGUGGCUAAUACGGGAUAUUCUGGGUCUGUCGCAUGAUGGGUCUGGGAAAGAUAUUGUUUCGGUGGGGGAUGGGCUCGCGGCCUAUCAGCUUGUUGGUGGGGUGAUGGCCUACCAAGGCGGUGACGGGUAGCCGGCCUGAGAGGGUGGACGGUCACACUGGGACUGAGACACGGCCCAGACUCCUACGGGAGGCAGCAGUGGGGAAUAGUGCACAAUGGUCGCAAGCCUGAUGCAGCGACGCCGCGUGAGGGAUGGAGGCCUUCGGGUUGUGAACCUCUUUCGCCAGUGAAGCAGGCCUGCCUCGUUUGUGGGUGGGUUGACGGUAGCUGGAUAAGAAGCGCCGGCUAACUACGUG